UCCGAGCCCAGACUCACCGGUGGGGUCGCCGGGGUUGAGCAGCCAGAGCAGGCGCGGCUCGCAGCGCCCCCGGCUCUCCCGGACCCGCCGGCGCAGCUCGGCCCCGCUGGCGGCCCAGCCCCGGGACCCGCUCAGCGCGUACGGAACCGGCUCCGCGCCCGCCAGAAGCGGCACCGAGCGGCACAGAGCCGGGCCCGGCACCGGAACCAGAACCGCGGGGGGCGGGGAGGGGAUCAAUGGGGAUUGGGAUUGGGAUUGGGAUUCGGAUCAGGAUUGGGAUGGGGGAAUUCCAAGUUUGGUGCCUGCAUUCCCAGUUUUGAGUCCCCAUCCCCACUUCGGGAUCUGAAUUCCAUAUCCCACAUCCCAUAUCCUGUUCCCAUAUCCCCUAUCCCAUUCCCAUAUCCCAUAUUACAUAUCCCAUAUCCCAUAUCCCAUAUCCCAUAUCACACAUCCCAUAUCCCAUAUCCCAUAUCCCAUAUCACACAUCCCAUAUCCCAUAUCCCAUAUCCCAUAUCACAGCCAUAUCCCAAUCCCAUAUCCCACAUCAUAUAUCCCAUUCUCAUAUCCCAUAUCCCAUUCCCAUAUCCCACAUCCCAUAUCCCACAUUCCCAUAUCCCAAUCCCAACCCCAUAUUCCAAUCCUGAUCCCAAUCCCAUAUCCCAUAUCCCAUUCCCAUAUCCCAUAUUCCACAUCCCAAUCCCAUAUCCCAAUCCCAUAUCCCAAUCCCAUAUCCCAUAUCCCAUAUCACAUUCCCAUAUCCCAUAUUCCACAUCCCAUAUCCCAUAUCCCAUAUCCCACAUCCCAUUCCCAUAUCCCAUUCCCAUAUACCAAAUCCCAUUCCCGUUCCUCACUGGAAUCAUCGUUGCUGUCCCGCUGCACAGGACGAUGUUUUUGGGGUCGCAGGGAAUUCCAUCCCGGAAUUCCAGGAACUGGGAAAUUUUGGCAGGGACACCGUGGGAUCGAUGCUCGUGGUUGUAUCCCCCUGUGGGAAUGGAAUUGGCCCCAAAUCCAAUGGGAUCAGCCCCAAAUCCACUGGGAUCAGCCCCAAAUCCCAUGGGCUCUGCCCCAAAACCAAUGGGCUCUGCCCCAAAUCCAGCGGGAUCGGCCUCAAAUCCAUCAGGAUCCCAAAUCCUGCGGGAUCACUGUGAAAUCCCGUGUGAUCAGCCCCAAAUCCAAUGGGAUCAGCCAUAAAUCCAAUGGGAUUGCCCUCAAAUCCAGCAGGAUCCCAAAUUCAAUGGGAUCCCAAAUCUAAUGGGAUUAGCCCCAAAUCCAAUGGGAUCUUCCCCAAAUGAAAUGGGAUCGGCCCUAAAUCCAGCACGAUCAUCCCCAAAUCCAGGGGGAUCCCAAAUCCAGUAGGGUCAGAUCCAAAUUCAAUAGGAUUUUAUAUAAAUCAAAUGAGAUCAGUCCCAAAUCCACUGGGAUCACUGGGAAAUCCUAUGGAAUCAGCCCCAAAUCCAACGGGAUCAGCCCUAAAUCCAGCAUGAUCAUCCUGAAAUCCAGCAGGAUCCCAAAUCCAUCAGAAUCCCAAAUCCAGAGGGAUCACUGGGAAAUCCUACGGAAUCAGCCCCAAAUCCUAUGUAAUCAGCCCCAAAUCCAACGGGAUCAGCCCUAAAUCCAGCAUGAUCAUCCCCAAAUCCAGCAGGAUCCCAAAUCCAUCAGAAUCCCAAAUCCAGAGGGAUCACUGGGAAAUCCUACGGAAUCAGCCCCAAAUCCAGCGGGAUCUGCCCCAAAUCCAACGGGAUCAGCCCUAAAUCCAGCAUGAUCAUCCUGAAAUCCAGCAGGAUCCCAAAUCCAUCAGAAUCCCAAAUCCAGAGGGAUCACUGGGAAAUCCUACGUAAUCAGCCCCAAAUCCAGCGGGAUCUGCCCCAAAUCCAACGGGAUCAGCCCUAAAUCCAGCAUGAUCAUCCCCAAAUCCAGCAGGAUCCCAAAUCCAAUGGGAUUAGCCCCAUCCAGCAGGAUUGUCUCUGAAUCCAAUGGGAUCCCAAAUCCAGUGAGAUCCCAAAUGCAGAAGGGAUUGACCCCAAAAUCCAGCGGGAUCUCAAAAGAGCGGGAACACUGGGAAAUGCCAUGGGAUUGGCCCCAAAUUCAGCGGGAUCAGCCCCAAAUCCAGCAAGAUCCCAAAUCCAAUGGGAUCAGCCCCAAAUUCAGUGGGAUCCCAAAUCAUGCAGGAUCCCAAAUCCAGAGGGAUUGCAAGAAAAUUCCGUGUGAUCAGCCCCAAAUCCAGUGGGAUCAGCCCUAAAUCAAAUGGGAUCAGCCCCAAAUCCAGUAGGGAUCAAUCCCAUCGAUAUUCCCAGAAUCCAUUUCUCUCCCCCGGAAACCCCAAAUUUUUGGGGAUUUUUUGGGAUAUUCCCACCGAUAUUCCCGGCGUCCAUGUCCCGCAGGAUUCUCCGGGCGCGAUCCCGCGCGGCCUCGGGCAGAGAGGGAGAGUCCAAAAGUUCGGGAAAAGCGCAGGCGGCCAAAAUCUGGGAACGGGGACACGGAUCGGGGGUUGGGGACACCGGGGGACAGGAGGGGACCUGGAGCUCGGGGGGACACCCCCGGUGAUCCUGGGUGGCAGAAGGUGACAGGAGGGGACACGAAGGGACAGGAGGGGACAUUCCCAGAGAACAUGGGGGGACAGGAGGGACAUUACCCGUGAUCCCUGGGCGAGGGGACAGGGAGUGACAGGAGGGGACACUCCCGGUGGUCCCUGGGUGACAGGAGGGGACACGGGGGGACAUUCCCGGUGAUCCUUGGGGGACAAGAGGGGACAUUCCCAAUGGGACCCGGGAGACAGGAGGUGACACAAGGGGACAUUCCCGGCGGGACCUGGAGGCCUGGGGGACAAUCCCGGUGAUCCCUGGGGGACAGGAGGUGACAGCAGGACACAGCAGGUGGCAGUAGGUGACAGCAGCGACAUUGGCGGUACCUGUCGCAGCACGGGCAGCGGCUCCCGGCCCAUGGCCUGAGCGUCGUCACCGCUGCAGUCCAGGGGUGGCACGAACGGCGACACCGGGGGUGGCCCUGGUGGCGCCGAGGGUGGCCCUGUCGCUGUCCCCGAGGUCCCCGCUGUCCCCUCGGUGACACAAGGGGACAUUCCCGGUGGGACCUGAAGGCCUGGGGGACAAUCCCGGUGAUCCCUGGGGGGACAGGAGGUGACAGCAGGACACAGCAGGUGGCAGUAGGUGACAGCAGCGACAUUGGCGGUACCUGUCGCAGCACGGGCAGCGGCUCCCGGCCCAUGGCCUGAGCGUCGUCACCGCUGCAGUCCAGGGGUGGCACGAACGGCGACACCGGGGGUGGCCCUGGUGGCGGCCCUGGUGGCGCCGAGGGAGUCCAGGGGUGGCACGAACGGCGACACCGGGGGUGGCCCUGGUGGCGCCGAGGGUGGCCCUGUCGCUGUCCCCGAGGUCCCCGCUGUCCCCUCGGCCGCCAUGGCGGUGACGCCGCGGUGGCGAAGCGCCAGGGGGAGGCGACACGGAGGGGACGGGACGGGACAAAGGGGGCGGGAAUUCGGGGUGAGAAAGGGAAAUUCGGGGGGAAUUUGGGAAAAUUUGGGAGAAUUUGGGCGAGUUUAGGGAUGGGAAAGGGAAAUUCGGGGGAAUUUGGGGUUGGGAAAGGGAAAAUGGGGGAAAUUUGGAGGAAUUUGGGAAGAUGGAAUGGGAAUCGGAGUUGGGAAAGGGAAGUUGGGGGAAAUUUGGGGAAGGGAUUUGGGAUUGGAAAAGGGAAAAUGGGGGAAUUUGGGGAGAUUUGGGGAAAAUUUAGGGAAAUUUGGGGAAAUGGGGAAGGGGGUUUGGGGUUGGAAAAGGGAAAAUCGGGGGAAUUUGGAGGAAAUGGGGAAGGGAUUUGGGGGUGGAAAAGGGAAAUUGGGGAAAUAUGGGGAAGGGGUUUAGGGUUGGAAAAGGGAAAAUCGGGGGAAAAUUAUGGGGAAUGGGAAUUUGGGGCAGGGAAUUGGGGUUGGAAAAUUAAUAAUGGGGAAAAAAUCGGGAAAAUUUGGGGUGGGAAUUUGGAGUUGGGAAAGGGAAAACGGGGAAGGAAUUUGGGACUGGAAAAGGGAAAUUUUGGGAGAAAUUGGGAGAGGGAGUUUGGGUUGGAAAAUGGAAAAUGGGGGAAAUUUGGGGGAAAUUUGGGGAAUGGGAACUAGGGACCCCAAGCUGGGAAUAGGGACCCCAAACUGGGAGUGGGGACCCUAAUCCGGGAAUGGGGACCCAAACUGGGAAUGGGGAAUUCAAACUGGGAAUGGGGAUUCCCCUGUCUUAAAUCCAUAUUUUAAAUACGUCUUUUU
rnacentral:lncRNA from 12 species